CCAUUGGCCUGUCUCCUAACCCUCUUGUCCUGGCACCAGGGGUGGCAAACGAAGAGGGAACAACCUCCUCCAUCCGUCUCUCUCUGGGCAUCCUGCCCUGCCCAGGGACUGGCAUGGGGCAAUACCCGCAGUGUCCCCCAACUCAAGGCCUCCAGGGUUGACCCCAAAGAGCCCCCUUAGCGGGAAGGAGGUUUGGGUACAUCUACAUCCAUCCUACCUUCUGGAGAGGCAUGCGGAGGUUCCAGAGAGGGGAAACUGCGGCAGAAGAGAGCCAAAGUCACAGUAUGGACCGCCUCACCCCUCCCAAGUGUCCCACCCUUAAUGCCCCCCAGUACCCCCACCACCCGGCUCCUGGCCUACUCCCCAUCCUCCGUGGCAACCACGCCCAGACAGAGGAUCCAGCUGGAACAAUGACGGGGGCCUGCCCAGCCAGCCCCAGCUGCUUCCUUUUCAGUGGCCCUGUGCCCCCUGCCAGAUCCUGCCUGGGGGAACUGGAGUCUGGGUCCACGAUGGAAAUCUGCCCUUGAAGAACUGCCCCCAGGGAUGGAUUCCAGUGCUAUGCUCCACGUAGCACCUUCCCUACCCCACUUCCUACUCCUCAAGCCCCUCUAGGUCCUGGUGACAUCCACUCCUCCAGCCAGCCCUCCCAGCCUGCUGGCACUUGCUCCCUACUGUUUCCCAUGGGGUUGGGCAGUGGGAUCUGGCUGCCUAGGUUCAGAUCCAGGCCUCACCUCUUUCUGCCUGUAUUCCCCCCCACCCUCGCCCCCGGCAGCUUGGUUAACCAUUCAGAGCCUCAGUGUCCCCAUCUGUCAAACGAGGGUAGCUUUGAAAACCUAUGGCAUGAGACUUUGAUGAUGCUGAAAGGUCAUAUGUGCAAACUGGGUAGAAGAACCCUAGGCCUGUUGCUAGAGCCACACCGGCUCCUCACGUGUGCCAAGCUGCUUCAGUGGUGUCCGAUCCUUUGUGAACCCGUGGACUGUAGCCCACCAGGCUUCUCUGUCCAUGGGGAUUCUGCAGGCAAGAAUACAGGAGUGGGUUGCCAUGUCCUCCUCCAGAGGAUCUUCCUGACCCAGGGAUCAAACUCAAGUCUCUGACAUCUCCUACAUUGGCAGGCAGGUCCUUUACCACUAGCGUCACUUGGGAAGACCUUAUACUGGCCCCUCACUAAACCCCAAACACACCCGGCAUGCUCCUACCUCUAGGCUUCCCACUGGAUGUUCCUUCCAGAUGUCCCCACGGCUCCCUCCUCCCUUUACUCACAUCUGUGCUAGUGUGCCGCCUCCUCAGAAGGACCCUCCCAAGCCAUCGCCAGGCUGUUUGCCAUCACUCGUUUGUCACCACCUGGCAUUAUAUUACUUACCCGAGCUUAGGCUCCGCAACCCAAGGGCCCUGGCUUCACAGUUAUUGGCUGUGUGACCUUGGGCAUGUUACUUAACUUCUCUGAACUUCAAUCCCCUCAUUUUUAAAAUGGGGAUAGUAAUAAACUGGUCUCAUACAACUGUUGGGUGAAUAAGUGACUUAGCAGAUGGAACACCUUCAGAACAGUGCGUGGCCCACACUAGGUGGUAUUCCCAAAACUAAUUUUGUUUCUCUUAUUUUUGAGUACC
ensembl:lncRNA